AAAAUAAUUUAAUCUGGGUAAAAUAUUGGUUUCCAAAACUAAAAAUGUGGGUUCAAUUCCC
rnacentral:tRNA from 1 species